GAUGAACGCUGGCGGCGUGCCUAAUACAUGCAAGUCGAGCGAACAGACGAGGAGCUUGCUCCUCUGACGUUAGCGGCGGACGGGUGAGUAACACGUGGAUAACCUACCUAUAAGACUGGGAUAACUUCGGGAAACCGGAGCUAAUACCGGAUAAUAUAUUGAACCGCAUGGUUCAAUAGUGAAAGACGGUUUUGCUGUCACUUAUAGAUGGAUCCGCGCCGCAUUAGCUAGUUGGUAAGGUAACAGCUUACCAAGGCAACGAUGCGUAGCCGACCUGAGAGGGUGAUCGGCCACACUGGAACUGAGACACGGUCCAGACUCCUACGGGAGGCAGCAGUAGGGAAUCUUCCGCAAUGGGCGAAAGCCUGACGGAGCAACGCCGCGUGAGGGAUGAAGGUCUUCGGAUCGUAAAACUCUGUUAUUAGGGAAGAACAAAUGUGUAAGUAACUAUGCACGUCUUGACGGUACCUAAUCAGAAAGCCACGGCUAACUACGUG
rnacentral:rRNA from 1 species